rnacentral:rRNA from 1 species
UACGGAGGGUGCGAGCGUUUGUUCGGAAUCACUGGGCGUAAAGGGCGUGUAGGCGGUCCGCUAAGUCUGAUGUGAAAGCCCGGGGCUCACCCCCGGAAGGGCAUUGGAAACUGACGGACUCGAGUCCCGAAGAGGAGGGUGGAAUUCCUGGUGUAGCGGUGAAAUGCGUAGAUAUCAGGAGGAACACCGGUGGCGAAGGCGGCCCUCUGGACGGUGACUGACGCUGAGACGCGAAAGCCGUGGGGAGCAAACAGG